UACGGAGGGUGCAAGCGUUAUCCGGAUUCACUGGGUUUAAAGGGUGCGUAGGCCGCACGGUAAGUCAGGUGUGAAAGCCCGGAGCUCAACUCCGGAAUUGCACCCGAUACUGCCGUGCUUGAGGACUGGAGAGGAGUCUGGAAUUCACAGUGGAGCAGUGAAAUGCGUAGAUAUUGUGAGGAACACUAGUGGCGAAGGCGAGACUCUGGACAGUUCCUGACGCUGAGGCACGAAGGCCAGGGGAGCAAACGGG
rnacentral:rRNA from 1 species